UACGUAGGGUCCGAGCGUUAAUCGGAAUUACUGGGCGUAAAGCGUGCGCAGGCGGUUUUGUAAGCCAGAUGUGAAAUCCCCGAGCUUAACUUGGGAACUGCAUUUGGGACUGCAAGGCUGGAGUACGGCAGAGGGAGGUGGAAUUCCACGUGUAGCAGUGAAAUGCGUAGAGAUGUGGAGGAACACCGAUGGCGAAGGCAGCCUCCUGGGCUAGUACUGACGCUCAUGCACGAAAGCGUGGGGAGCAAACAGG
rnacentral:rRNA from 1 species